UCGAUUGUCCGCCAUUACUUCCGCCAACUUGUCGGACCUCAGUUGAACACCGCGAGAAUAUAUAUAUGUAAACAGAAUGGUGAAAACAUGCUCGUGGGGAACUGGCAACAGUUACGGCCGAUACCCUGAUAGAUUGGAGGGCGGUGUUGUAUAUUCUACAAUUCAUGGAACCUAAAACAUACAGCUUUGGAAGUUGUGUCAGCAGCAGAUGAAAUAAAGAGGCUAGAACAACAACUACAUAGAUAUGAGCUGCUGAAUUUGCACCAUGAACAACAAAAUACUACAUCUUUCUCAAGUGUUAUAUUGAUAGUGAUAUUAAUCAGAAAUAAAAUCGAUUGACAUCCUGAAUUGUAA